AAUUGCUCGAGGGAAGCACCGUUGAGCUGGAGCCUGGGUGAGGAGUCGCCACAGGUAGCUCUGCAGCAACUGGGAAGGAAAGAGAGCUGGAGAGAAAAAAAAAAAAAGACUACACCUGGCUCAGCUGUACCGAAUCUGAAGGAAUCCAGGUGAAGGGGUUCCACACACAGAGCCCAGUGACCGGGAAGUCAGGCCUGCAUUAGAGGGUCCAAGCACUGCCCACUGGACUUGCCACAGGCAUCCAAAGUGAAUGAGCUCCCCAGUAGCACAUGCAGAAACAAAGCAGAACAGUGCAAAGCUAAGGCCUGCGUCUGAACGGCGAGCACAAGCAGAGCAGACAGAGCCAAAAAUUCAGGGAGGGGCCGGAGGCUGCUGCAGUCUGGGAGAAAGCUCCCAGCAAUGUGGGGAAAAGCUGGACACAGCAGCUGAACCGCCCUGCUCAAGAGUCUCACUCCGUCACCAGGCACCAGGCUGGAGUGCAAUGGCACGACCUCGGCUCACCGCAACCUCUGUCUCCCGGAUUCAAGCAAUUCUCCUGCCUCAGCCUUCUGAGUAGCUGGGAUUACAGGCACGCACCACCAUGCCCAGCUAACGUUUUGUAUUUUUAGUAGAGACGGGGUUUCACCAUGUUGGCCAGGAUGGUCUCGAUCUCUUGACCUCAUGAUCCGCCUGCCUCAGUCUCCCAAAGUGCUGGGAUUACAGGCGUGAGCCACCGCGCCCGGCCAUAAUAUCCUUUUAUAUUUUAGAAUAUCCUAGACUUUUUACAAUUUAUUAAACACUCUCUGUGACAUUGUUUUAG
rnacentral:lncRNA from 13 species